CAAUACGGAUGACGACGCAUACAUCGGCACAAGCUGUCGGUGGGAGAGCACUGGAGCCGAAAAGUGAAAACCAAUUUCAGUUCGCCUCAGCACGGUCCGGCGUCAAGAUCGCAAAGAUCCCGUCGCGCACAUUCAUCGCCGCAAGUUCUAUUGCAAGCAAGCAAACCGUGAAAUUUAGUUUCCAUCUCCCAGGAGGGACGAGUGCGAAUAAGCAAAAUCGAUUGUGACUAAAUGUGCGAUUGGUGCCGGACACGGCUGCGAACAAUUGGGAGGAAGAGAUCCGAGUCGGAUUAGACGCCACGUGUCUGCUAUUCUGGUGGUCAUCGGACCGAAAUAAUCCGAUACAAGUUGGAGUACGGAAAGCAUCGAGCAGGAACUCGGGUUUGUUCGAGAUAAAUCCGCCUAGCAGCUGGCGUUGGGACCUCAAGAAGGCCGGAAUAGCAACUUGGCGGACACGAGGGUGACGCAGAAAGCGGUCGGAUCGAAGCUUGGGCAGCAAAAUACCAUCGAAAGGCCCCUGCAAGGGUGAGUUGAAAUGAAUCUUCUAAAAGCGCAUCCGACUGAAUGCAUUUCUGCAUUUCCCAGGGCCUUUUUUGGCAGAUCUACGCAGUUUUUAACGAGUCGGCAACCGGGUCGACACCUUCAUCGCCAUCUUUGCUGCGUCGCUUGCGGCUCGCGUCGCCCACCGUUUUUGGCAUCUCCUACCGCCGUACCGUGGGUUGGUGCGACUUUGGAACGAAGUGUUCGUGCCCUGUCGGCAGAAAAGAGAGAAGUUGGAGUUGGAGCUCUGCAUCAGGGAGGCCGGCGAGACCAGACCGGUGGUAAUCCGUGUGGCAUCGGCCAAGGUCGCGGUGGAGGUGGCAGCCACGGCGACGGUACCGACGGUGCGCGUAGGUGCUGGGCAACAGCUUCCAUGCAGUGGUUCCCCAGACCGGGAGUGAUUAACAACAAUGCGCUGGCAGGAAGAGGUGCCAAUCCGGCGCGUGAAUCUGGCAAUGGCGCCGGGAAGCGGGGCCGUGAGUACUAUCCUAGGUUAAGCCAAUCAUUGUAAGGGGGACAAAACAUAGAUUAAGCUACAAGCAGCUAGAGAUAGGGAGCAGGCGGUCAUGAUGGCUAUCAAUAUAUGUAAUUAAAACUACUUUUGGUUUUGUGAGUUUUUGUUGGUGCACAUAG